rnacentral:rRNA from 1 species
UAGGGAAUUUUCCACAAUGGGCGAAAGCCUGAUGGAGCAACGCCGCGUGCAGGAUGAAUGUCUUCGGAUUGUAAACUGCUUUUAUCUGUGACGAUUAUGACGGUAGCAGAUGAAUAAGGAUCGGCUAACUCCGUGCCAGCAGCCGCGGUCAUACGGAGGAUCCAAGCGUUAUCCGGAAUUACUGGGCGUAAAGAGUUGCGUAGGUGGCAUUGUAAGCAAGUAGUGAAAGCGUCCGGCUCAACCGGAUAAACAUUACUUGAACUGCAAAGCUAGAGGAUGAGAGAGGUUAUUGGAAUUCCCUGUGUAGGAGUGAAAUCCGUAGAUAUAGGGAGGAACACCGAUGGCGUAGGCAGAUAACUGGCUCAUUCCUGACACUAAGGCACGAAAGCGUGGGUAGCAAACGGGAUUAGAUACCCCCGUAGUCC